rnacentral:rRNA from 1 species
GACGAACGCUGGCGGCGUGCUUAACACAUGCAAGUCGAACGGAAAGGCCCUGCUUUUGUGGGGUGCUCGAGUGGCGAACGGGUGAGUAACACGUGAGUAACCUGCCCUUGACUUUGGGAUAACUUCAGGAAACUGGGGCUAAUACCGGAUAGGAGCUCCUGCUGCAUGGUGGGGGUUGGAAAGUUUCGGCGGUUGGGGAUGGACUCGCGGCUUAUCAGCUUGUUGGUGGGGUAGUGGCUUACCAAGGCUUUGACGGGUAGCCGGCCUGGGAGGGUGACCGGCCACAGUGGGACUGGGGUACGGCCCAGACUCCUACGGGGGGCAGGAGUGGGGAAUAUUGCACGAUGGGCGGAAGCCUGAUGCAGCAACGCCGCGUGCGGGAGGACGGCCUUCGGGUUGUAAACCGCUUUCGCCUGUGACGAAGCGUGAGUGACGGUAAUGGGUAAAGAAGCACCGGCUAACUACGU